rnacentral:rRNA from 1 species
UACAGAGGUCCCAAGCGUUGUUCGGAUUCAUUGGGCGUAAAGGGUGCGUAGGUGGCGCCGUAAGUCGGGUGUGAAAUUUCGGAGCUUAACUCCGAAACUGCAUUCGAUACUGCGGUGCUUGAGGACUGGAGAGGAGACUGGAAUUCAUGGUGUAGCAGUGAAAUGCGUAGAGAUCAUGAGGAAGACCAGUGGCGAAGGCGGGGUCGUCUGGACAGUUCCUGACACUGAGGCACGAAGGCCAGGG